UACGUAGGGUGCGAGCGUUGUCCGGAAUUAUUGGGCGUAAAGGGCUCGUAGGCGGUCUGUUGCGUCGGGAGUGAAAACUCAGGGCUUAACCCUGAGCCUGCUUCCGAUACGGGCAGACUAGAGGUAUGCAGGGGGAGAACGGAAUUCCUGGUGUAGCGGUGGAAAUGCGCAGAUAUCAGGAGGAACACCGGUGGCGAAGGCGGGUCUCUGGGCCGAUACUGACGCUGAGGAGCGAAAGCGUGGGGAGCGAACGG
rnacentral:rRNA from 1 species